AGUGAACGCUGGCGGUAGGCCUAACACAUGCAAGUCGAACGGCAGCACAGUAAGAGCUUGCUCUUACGGGUGGCGAGUGGCGGACGGGUGAGGAGUACAUCGGAAUCUACUUUUUCGUGGGGGAUAACGUAGGGAAACUUACGCUAAUACCGCAUACGACCUACGGGUGAAAGCAGGGGAUCUUCGGACCUUGCGCGAUUGAAUGAGCCGAUGUCGGAUUAGCUAGUUGGCGGGGUAAAGGCCCACCAAGGCGACGAUCCGUAGCUGGUCUGAGAGGAUGAUCAGCCACACUAGAACUGAGACACGGUCCAGACUCCUACGGGAGGCAGCAGUGGGGAAUAUUGGACAAUGGGCGCAAGCCUGAUCCAGCCAUACCGCGUGGGUGAAGAAGGCCUUCGGGUUGUAAAGCCCUUUUGUUGGGAAAGAAAAGCAGCAGGUUAAUACCCCGCUGUUCUGACGGUACCCAAAGAAUAAGCACCGGCUAACUUCGUG
rnacentral:rRNA from 1 species